GAAUGCAGCCAGAAGCUGGUGUCUGGCUCUCCAUCCCGUUUGCAGCAGGUCAUAACAACAAAAGGGUGCUCUACCAAGUACUAAAGAUGCUUGCCAUGAAUGGGUUGAAUAAUUUUGAGACUGGAGAAGUCAUUAUACGUUGCAUUUUCAACUGAAUUUGGGGAAAAAAACUUUAAGCAUUUAUUGUUUUGACUAUUUCGAUUGCUUUUGUUUGAUGUUUUCAUUGCAAACAGCUGAAAGUCUGUAAUUUUUACAAUAACCCUGAUUUUCAGUUGGGGGUUGAGUAAUUUUAAUUAAAACUGUAUAUAGUCACAUCCAGUGAGUGAGGGGAAUGGUAAAUAUACUUACCUGAAUCUAUCCCUCCUCAUAGUGCCAUCUUCCUCUCCAGCUCCUGUCGGACUCACCUCCCGGCUAUGGAAUAUCUCUGGAUUGAUGAUCUAAAGCUUGCACAGUUUGGUGCCAUAGGCAUGUAUUGCAUGAUAAUAUGUCUGUCCCAAUCAGCCGUUACAAGCUAGAGCUACUGGGUAAUGGAAAGAUGAGGUGCCAAGAACAGUUCCGUCUGUUGCCAAACUUAGCCAAAAAUUGAGCAGCGUAAGACAUUUAUUUUGAUUGCAUUUGAAAUAACAAUGGAAUUAAAGUCUUAAAAACUCAGUGUUUCUACAUAACAUAAAGAAGACGUUUUUGAAGAUUGAAGGUAUUCUAUGAUUGCCAAACUAAAAUAGAAUGUGGUCACGAAGUUAAUGUCACCGUGGAACAGUAAAAUAUGUGAUAGGGGCAGGUUGGCAAAUUACAAACUAACUGUACAUGUUCGGAAAACAUGUACAAAAGUUUGAGAGAAUAAUUUCGGAAAAAUGUUUUAAAUUUAGAUUGUAUGUAUGUAAAAUUGCUGGCUAACUUUGGCACCUCUGAAUAUUUGUGAAUUAAUUUUUUUGUUCAGCCAUUUAGCAUCUUUUAUUCAGAAUGUUUUCUCUAUAAAUAAACAAAAAGCAGUAAAAAUAUCCCCCUUGAAAGUAUUUGCUCAAAAUACUAUAUCAUUUUUUGAGUACUGUUAAACUCCCUUCACUGUGAGAGCGCCCCCUAAUGUAUUCAGUAUAGAAUGGAUCGUGGUGCACAAAUGCUUAUUGUGCACAAAUAUUUUAAUGUGCUAAAAACAGAAUUAUUAUUUUUUAUAGUGAACCUGUUAUCUAAAAAUGUCAUUCCUGCAUUAUUUUUAUUUUUUUUAAUUAGAAAUUUAUUUAGCAAACAGUGAACUGAAAACCGAACUUUCACAUAAAACUUGAAUACAUUUACAAAUCUUCUGUUUAAACUGAAAUUUAGCAUUUAAAUUCUCAGUUCAUUAUACUUAGGAAUUAGCAAAUUAACCCUUCAGUAUUUAAUCUCAACAAUAUUCUAGCCAAUGAGCUAGCAAUCUAUAGCUGAGUAGAUUAUUUCAUACGUAUGUGUAAACCUGUCCCAGCAUCGUUUGCAAUUUAUUUUAUGUGCAUGGAAUUCUGAGACAGAUUGGAAAAAUAGCAUAUGGAGCUAGAUACAUUUUAUAACUAGUCAUUCUAAUUAGUAAUCACAUUUUUAUACACAACCUGAUACAGACUAAAUUGUUUCCUCAUAGACCUAUUUUAUUUUAGGAUAUGAACCACUGCGCACCUCUGGUUGUCAAAUAGCCCAAUGUGUGGCAUCUAUUCACACGUUACUGUAAAAAGGGCAAUCUUUGUCUGCCGAAGACAAACAGAAACAAUGUUAUUCACUGAAAUAUAUCAUUUUUGGGAGAUCCAAACGAGUGAAUUGUAGUGAAAUUGAAAAAUAAACUGCAAAAAAGUAAAAAUUGACAAAAAAAUCUACCACUUAACUAGUAGUGAAAGCGUGGGUGUUUGAGCAUGGAUUUGCAAUUUAGUUUUAAUUUACUAGAAUUCGGCAUUUAGUGAAUAGGCACUAAAGUGAAUUUUACCGAAAUGCAAACUGCUGAUUAAAAUGUGAAAUUCACUUUAAAAUCCUGGCAAUUCAAACUUUGGUGACUAGCUCUGACAGUAUGUCGUUUUGUGAAUGUGUUUCUAACUUUAUUUAUUUUUUUUUUUUUAGGAUGAAGAGUUAUCCAGAGGCUUAGUUAAUGGCAACUUUUUAUUUGAAGAAGAGAGUCUCUCUGACAUAUUGUGAUGUCACAGCCUUUUGUGGCGAGAUGAAGGCCGAACAUUUUCGGUGUACGGUUGUAGCAGUCAGUCAGGACUCCACGAAGUUGAUUAUCAGCCCCUGAUCUAGGUAGAAGUUUGUUUGCGCUGAUUUGAAUACAGCUUAGUGAAUCUGUACCUCGUUUUUGCCAGUAAACUACCCCCAUUUUACUAGCAAGCACUGUGUCUCCUGCAUCGGUUGAUUUUUAUGUUCUCUAAUUAAUUAACUAAAAACUUACCUCCUUGGUGAAUAUGGCUGUGGGUUAUUAGAAUUUUGUAGACGCCUGUCUACAGAUUCCGAAUGCUUCUUUGUUAG
rnacentral:lncRNA from 1 species